AUUGAACGCUGGCGGCAGGCCUAACACAUGCAAGUCGAGCGGGGUUUUCGGACCUAGCGGCGGACGGGUGAGUAAUGCGUAGGAAGCUGCCCGAUAGAGGGGGAUACCAGUUGGAAACGACUGUUAAUACCGCAUAAUGUCUACGGACCAAAGUGUGGGACCUUCGGGCCACAUGCUAUCGGAUGCGCCUACGUGGGAUUAGCUAGUUGGUGAGGUAAUGGCUCACCAAGGCGACGAUCUCUAGCUGGUUUGAGAGGAUGAUCAGCCACACUGGAACUGCGACACGGUCCAGACUCCUACGGGAGGCAGCAGUGGGGAAUAUUGGACAAUGGGCGCAAGCCUGAUCCAGCCAUGCCGCGUGUGUGAAGAAGGCCUUCGGGUUGUAAAGCACUUUCAGCGAGGAGGAAGGGUGGUGUGUUAAUAGCACAUCAUUUUGACGUUACUCGCAGAAGAAGCACCGGCUAACUCUGUGCCAGCAGCCGCCGUAACAC
rnacentral:rRNA from 1 species